GCCUGGCUGGCUUAGUCCGUAGAGCAUAUGACUCUUGAUCUUGGGGUCAUGGUUUCAAGCCCCAUGUCAGGUG
rnacentral:tRNA from 1 species